GAUGAACGCUGGCGGCGUGCCUAAUACAUGCAAGUCGAGCGAACAGACGAGGAGCUUGCUCCUCUGACGUUAGCGGCGGACGGGUGAGUAACACGUGGAUAACCUGCCUAUAAGACUGGGAUAACUUCGGGAAACCGGAGCUAAUACCGGAUAAUAUAUUGAACCGCAUGGUUCAAUAGUGAAAGACGGUUUUGCUGUCACUUAUAGAUGGAUCCGCGCCGCAUUAGCUAGUUGGUAAGGUAACGGCUUACCAAGGCGACGAUGCGUAGCCGACCUGAGAGGGUGAUCGGCCACACUGGAACUAAGACACGGUCCAGACUCCUACGGGAGGCAGCAGUAGGGAAUCUUCCGCAAUGGGCGAAAGCCUGACGGAGCAACGCCGCGUGAGUGAUGAAGGUCUUCGGAUCGUAAAACUCUGUUAUUAGGGAAGAACAAAUGUGUAAGUAACUAUGCACGUCUUGACGGUACCUAAUCAGAAAGCCACGGCUAACUACGUG
rnacentral:rRNA from 1 species